CAGAUGGAUCAAUACGGUCGACAGAAGUUUUAUAUAUCUGGAGUGCGGAUAAAUUUUUACUGAGAGUCGUAUAGGAAUCUAUAAUCUAGUACUUUCCAAAAUACGCCGAGAGUAUUCCUGAUGGUGAAACGAGCGUUGCUUCGUCGAACGCAGCUAAAGAAAACAACAUCUAUGUAGUUGGUGGUACGAUGCCUGAAAUAGAGGGCGCUAAAUUGUACAAUACCUGUACUAUUUGGGGUCCCGAUGGAACUUUGAUAGCAAGACACCGAAAGGCACAUCUAUUCGACAUCGACAUUCCUAAUAAGAUUACUUUUCGAGAGAGUGAUUCACUCAGUCCUGGUAACUCCCUAACGACGUUCGAUGUGAAGGGCUGCAAAAUAGGUAUUGGCAUUUGCUAUGAUAUUAGAUUCGAGGAAAUGGCACGCAUUUAUCGGAACAAAGGCAUCAAGUUCUAUUUACACAUCGAACGUUGAAAUACGGCGAAAUACAAAAUGUACAAACCACUCUGGACAUUAAUUAACUUUAAACGUUAUUGAUUAAUUAAAGAAACCAACCAUUGUGUUGAUUUUUACAUUUUGAAAAAUUGUUAUCCACUUUUGCUUUGUUUAAAAAUUGAAAAAAAAUACUUUUAUUGUAAGUCACGAGUAUCUCUUUUAUUUAUUUAAACUUUAGAUCAAAUAUUACAAUUUAUAAAUAUAUCAUUUAUUUAGAUAUACUUGUAAUAUCUGUUUUAUAAGUUUGUACAACCAUUUAUCUAUUUAUCUAUUUUAUUUGCACAUAAUCUUUAUAGACUGAUUUUGUAAAGAAUAAAAAAUUGUGAUUCUAUUUAAAAACGAUCGUGUCAGACUCAAGUGAUAAGCGAUAUAUAUUUCAGCGAUAUAUAUAUAUUCAGAUUUCACCAUCACAUAAACGGUGCUAUUGGAAACGUUUCACAAUAGACGUCUUAUAAGCGCCUGCGAUGUCCGUCAUAUGUAAAGCUAUACCACUGAAUCACGGCCGCCAUUUAGUGAUUAAGGUCGAUCACUUAGAGUUGUUAAUCCGACAUAAUGGCGAGCAAUACAUCGAAGACAUUAUUGGAAACACAGUUACAGUUCAAUUUCAUUGAGCUUAUUUGCAAAUAAAUGUGUACAAUAUAUUUUAGAGGUUUUAAAUAUUAUUGCUGACUAAACUUCGCAUCUACGCAUCAUCUUUCUUUAACUUUUUUUGCAUUUUCUUAUCGACGCAUGAAGACGAAAUGCGUAAAUUUUAUUAUUUAUUUAAACAUUACUAUAUUGUGCUCAAAGUAGCGGAAUAUCGUUCUAUUAUCAAUAUAUGAAGAACUAAAAGAAUUAAAAAAGAAUUAAAAAAAUAUGUAGUUCAAUCAAUACUUCGUGUAUUUUUCUAUCUCCACAAGACAAUAUCCGGACCAGUUACGCUUACAGUAUCAACAAAAAUUUGUCCAGCCAUACGGAAUAAGUCGUACUCAGUAGUUUAAAAGUAUUAACCGCACAAACUCCAGAAACACUUUUGAAGUAACUUUCGAACCAAUAAAUCCCCGAACUAAGAACUGUCAUAUUUCGUCUCUAUUUAUCGAAUAUUGUGAGAAAAUGCAAAAAAAAGAAGUUAAAUAGAAAAAGUACUUGGAAACUUAAAAGAAAAAAUCUCGAAAAAUCUCUUAAUACUUUUUACUGUCGUCUUGAGACGCACCAUGUGUUAAGCUUCUUCGUAGUUACAACUUUUACCGCAGAUGUAACGAACUGACAAAUGCUUCGAAUGGCGCGCGCGCGUCAACGCCUACACUUAAAUUUUAAAUAAAUGUUUUUAAAUAAAUGUUUAAAAUAAUACAUUAAAUGUAUUAACUUUCUUGCGCAA